rnacentral:rRNA from 1 species
GAUUGAACGCUGGCGGUAUGCUUAACACAUGCAAGUCGAACGGAAACGAUACUAGCUUGCUAGUAGGCGUCGAGUGGCGGACGGGUGAGUAACGCGUAGGAAUCUGCCUGAUAGUGGGGGAUAGCCCGAAGAAAUUCGGAUUAAUACCGCAUAAUCUAUUCGUAGUAAAGUGGGGGACUUUCGAGCCUCACGCUAUCAGAUGAGCCUGCGUAAGAUUAGCUUGUUGGUAGGGUAAAAGCCUACCAAGGCGACGAUCUUUAGCUGGUCUGAGAGGAUGAUCAGCCACAUCGGGACUGAGACACGGCCCGAACUCCUACGGGAGGCAGCAGUGGGGAAUAUUGGACAAUGGGGGCAACCCUGAUCCAGCAAUACCGCGUGUGUGAAGAAGGCCUGAGGGUUGUAAAGCACUUUCAAUUGUGAAGAAAAGUUAGCGGUUAAUAACCGUUAGCCUUGACGUUAACUUUAGAAGAAGCACCGGCUAACUCCGUGCCAGCAGCCGCGGUAAUACGGAGGGUGCAAGCGUUAAUCGGAAUUACUGGGCGUAAAGCGUGCGUAGGCGGUUUAUUAAGUCAGAUGUGAAAGCCCCGGGCUUAACCUGGGAACUGCAUUUGAAACUGGUCAACUAGAGUAUGGUAGAGGAAAGUGGAAUUUCUGGUGUAGCGGUGAAAUGCGUAGAUAUCAGAAGGAACAUCAAUGGCGAAGGCAGCUUUCUGGACCAAUACUGACGCUGAGGUACGAAAGCGUGGGUAGCAAACAGGAUUAGAUACCCUGGUAGUCCACGCCGUAAACGAUGAUAACUAGCCGUUGGGGGGAUUUACCCUUUAGUGGCGAAGCUAACGCGUUAAGUUAUCCGCCUGGGGAGUACGGCCGCAAGGUUAAAACUCAAAGGAAUUGACGGGGACCCGCACAAGCGGUGGAGCAUGUGGUUUAAUUCGAUGCAACGCGAAGAACCUUACCUGGUCUUGACAUCCUGCGAACUUUCUAGAAAUAGAUUGGUGCCUUCGGGAACGCAGUGACAGGUGCUGCAUGGCUGUCGUCAGCUCGUGUCGUGAGAUGUUGGGUUAAGUCCCGUAACGAGCGCAACCCCUAUCCUUAUUUGCCAGCACAUCAUGGUGGGAACUAUAAGGAGACUGCCGGUGAUAAACCGGAGGAAGGCGGGGACGACGUCAAGUCAUCAUGGCCCUUACGACCAGGGCUACACACGUGCUACAAUGGGAAGGACAAAGAGCCGCGAAGCCGCGAGGUGUAGCUAAUCUCAUAAACCUUUUCGUAGUCCGGAUUGGAGUCUGCAACUCGACUCCAUGAAGUCGGAAUCGCUAGUAAUCGUAGAUCAGAAUGCUACGGUGAAUACGUUCCCGGGUCUUGCUACACACCGCCCGUCAAG